AGCCAGCCGCCGCCACCACUCCACCAAAUCUCUCUCGGGAUCCAUCCCCUCCUCGAUUUCACACACCAGCCAACCAAAUCCAUCCCCUCCUCGAUCCACCCGUCCGCCCGAGCAGCUGCCUCGACCAUGGCUGCGUGUCCCCGUCGGCAACAUCUCCGGCCGCAGCUCCACACCACCGGAGCGCCAGGCCAGGACUCCCUCGCCCUUUCUCUUUCCUUCUUCCCUCUGUUUCCAUCCCCAUCAUCUCAUCUCUCUCUUCCUCUCCGUCUUCUCGCAGGGACCGUAAGGAGUCAGCCUUGGCCUCGUCACCGCGCCGCUCCGGCGACCAAGUCCCCACGACCCACGGCGCGUCCAACCCGCAACCGCAACGAUCCAUCCAUCUAGCUCCAGCGAGGCCCCUCCUGCCGUGCCUCGAUCUCCUCCAAGACUGGCAAGUUCCGCCGUAUGCCGUGGCCGUGGAGCUCGUCGGCGUCGUCCUCGUGCCGUCCUAGCCCAGUCGCCGUUUGCCUCCUCACUGCCUCCAGCCGUCCCCGCCGCCAAGUGCCGCCGACGACCUCCAUCUUCCUGCAUUGCGCAAGUCCCGCGCCCCUGCUUCCCUGCGUCCCCUGCUUCAGGUCAAGAUGCUCGCUCGAUCCCCUGCGCUGCCUCGAGCCACCGCAGCUCGCUCGAGUACAUCCCCGCUGCCGGUCCUCUUCCACAGUGCGCCGGCGCCACCAUGCCUCGUUUUGACCUGAAUUGCCACCAGAUCCGGCCAUCUCCGGCGCCUACUCGCUGGUUCCCACCGACCCCGUCGCCAGAACCUCCCCGGCGCCGUCUUCUGCAUCGCCGUGAACCUGCCGCUGCUUCUGUUGCUCGUUCUUCAGUAACGAGCAGAGCAUCUCGCCCGCCCCUCGCCCGUUGACCGAUCCGGCUGCUCGUGGGUCGCGCCAGGCCCAGCUCUGCCAGGCCACUCUUCGGUUUCGUUCCGGAGUUGUGAGGAUUCGUUCGACUACGUCCGUUUGUCUACUUCAUGGACUCGUUCUUCUUCCUUGCGGGAUCUCAGG